rnacentral:rRNA from 1 species
GACGAACGCUGGCGGCGCGCCUAACACAUGCAAGUCGAACGGAGCUGAGAGAAGCUUGCUUUUCUUAGCUUAGUGGCGAACGGGUGAGUAACGCGUGAGUAACCUGCCCUGGAGUGGUGGACAACAGUUGGAAACGACUGCUAAUACCGCAUAAGCCCACGAUCCGGCAUCGGAUUGAGGGAAAAGGAUUUAUUCGCUUCAGGAUGGACUCGCGUCCAAUUAGCUAGUUGGUGAGGUAACGGCCCACCAAGGCGACGAUUGGUAGCCGGACUGAGAGGUUGAACGGCCACAUUGGGACUGAGACACGGCCCAGACUCCUACGGGAGGCAGCAGUGGGGGAUAUUGCACAAUGGGGGAAACCCUGAUGCAGCGACGCCGCGUGGAGGAAGAAGGUUUUCGGAUUGUAAACUCCUGUCGUUAGGGACGAUAAUGACGGUACCCAACAAGAAAGCACCGGCUAACUACGUG